rnacentral:rRNA from 1 species
AUUGAACGCUGGCGGCAUGCCUUACACAUGCAAGUCGAACUGCAGCACGGGGGCAACCCUGGUGGCGAGUGGCGAACGGGUGAGUAAUACAUCGGAAUGUACCCAGUAGUGGGGGAUAACUAGUCGAAAGAUUAGCUAAUACCGCAUACGCACUAUGGUGGAAAGCGGGGGAUCGCAAGACCUCGCGCUAUUGGAGCAGCCGAUGUCCGAUUAGGUAGUUGGUGGGGUAAAGGCCUACCAAGCCUGCGAUCGGUAACUGGUCUGAGAGGACGACCAGUCACACUGGGACUGAGACACGGCCCAGACUCCUACGGGAGGCAGCAGUGGGGAAUUUUGGACAAUGGGGGAAACCCUGAUCCAGCAAUGCCGCGUGUGUGACGAAGGCCUUCGGGUUGUAAAGCACUUUUGGCGGGAACGAAACGGCGCUUUCUAAUACAGAGCGCUAAUGACGGUACCCGCAGAAUAAGCACCGGCUAACUACGUG